rnacentral:rRNA from 1 species
AUGUACAACGCUGGGAGCACGGCGCCGACGAGGAACCCACCCACGGUGUGCGCGGCGAGAGGAGGCGUGCGAGGCCGCGAAAGACAAGCGCGACGGGUUGGGCUUCCUGGGGCGCUGCGGGAAGGCGGGCGUGGCCAGGAGGAGGAGGUAGGGGAGGAGCAGGACGCCAAAGGCGAUCUCCGAGAGCGGCACGGUGGUCGAGAAGGCCAGUACGGCGGCGGCACCCAGUGUGUUGAGUUGCUUGAUGGAGAAGAGAAUUACCAGAAUCAGGAAAGGGAGGGAGCAAAGUUGUUGGCCGAUGAUGAUAUGAGAUUGACAACCUGUUUCCUGCAUCCUCUAGGAGUAGGAUUUGGAAGCGUUUUGGGAAGUAGACUGAAGACCAAGACGAUGGUAAUUCUGGUGAUGAAACAACAUCACAUAUUUCCAAGAGGAGUGGCCGAAGGAGAACUUUUCUAUGUUGUUAAUGUACUAGAUUUACCCGGUGUCCAUAAGUAUCCGUAUAGUUCUGGAGUUUAUCCUGAUCGCACUGAUUUGGAAGUUCGAUUUCUCGCUGUUUAUGAUCCUGCUCAUUGCCAUUCUCAACGACGAGUGAAGCCAUCCCCACAUCCAGAUAGUUGGAAGCUGCCGGAGAUCUUCAUCACCGGCAUCAUCUAUGGCGCCUACCUUGCUGUGAAGGCCGUGGUGUUCUUCUUCGCCAUGACCAGCACUGACUUCUUCAGCGAGAAGUUCCACGUGCGUUCGCUAAGGGGCAACAAGGAUGCGAUGAUGUCUGCCCUCUACCUUCAAGUGAGCAUCAUCAGCCAGGCCCUCAUCUUCGUCACCCGGUCGCGCCGCUGGUGCUUCCAGGAGCGCCCGGGGCUCUGGCUCUGCUUCGCCUUCGUCGUCGCGCAGAUCGUAAGCCAAUACCGAAGGAGAACAGAACAAAUCAAUGAUAAAGAUGGCGUCGACACUCUUCAUGAAUGCCGUUCUUUCUAG